CGCUUGAGAAGCUGAACUUAAGUGCUGUCUCGGAAAAUAGGAAUUAGAAAAACGCCGGUAGUCCCGAAAACCGUUCGACCUCCCAGGUGACCCGGAUGUGACCCGUGGCUAUCAAAGGUUUAAUAACCACCCUAAGUGUUGCAAGGGUGUGGGAAAUAUUUAUGUUGGUGGUGUCGAUAGGUACAGACUUUCUGGAAAGCAGCCUGGCUCUGAGCAGUGGGAGCAGUUAAAAUUGAGGGAGUACUUUUGCCUCAGGCAGUAAUCUGGAACGUAGACUGCACAAGUGCAUUCCCCACGGUGCACUACGGCACUGGGGAGGGAAGUGAGUGCUCGGCCCUGGGGGCGUCGUGGACAAGCGAGGACACUUGCAAGCAGGUGGGGGUUGUUGGGAGGGCAGCUGGAGUCAGCCCAGACAGGUGUAGCCGAGUCUCUUGGCAGCUGAGCGUUGAGGGAAGCAAGGGGGCUGGUGUGCCCUGCUAGACACAUGUUCAAAGCUAUUCAAUGUUCAGCGUUGAAUAUUUAAAUGCUCAGUAGCUAUUUUUAGCGGUUAAUAGCUAGACAGUGGAAAUAACCCAAAUAUCCGUCCGCUGGGAAGUGUGUAUGUGCCCGCGAUGGAUGUUAUCUGGCGAUUCAGAGGAUCAUGUGCCGACACUUGCCACAGCCUGGGGGAGCUUGGAACGCCUGCUCGGGGGUGGGGGAGGCUGCCGGACACAGAAGGCCAUGUGAUUCCGCUUCUGUGAAAUGGCCCAGACUGCUGACUUAGCUAGCAAGAAGGUGGUGGUUUUCCAGAGGCUGGGGGGGUGACCAGGGAGUGCAUGCUCCGGGGCAGGGUUUCUUUGGCGGGGUCGAAAACGUUCAGGAGUGGGAGAGUGGGAAAGGUUGUGCAGCUCUGUGAAUAUAGUGAAUGUCCCUGAACGGUACGUCUGGAAGGUGGUGAGUUGCAUGAGAGUGGUGUAUCUCAAUUAAAGAGCAGGUGGGGAAUCUGACACGUCCACCUCUAAAAUUAUACUUAAACGGGGCAGCGAGCAAGGGGAAAGUCAGUUGUCUGAAGUCCCAAGUUAAAGGAUUGUUAAUUGGGUUGUAAAACAAGACACAGCUACACACCGCCUACGAGAAAUCAUCAAGGCGCAAAUAAGCGAACAGUGAAACGGGGGGACACCUGUCACCAUAGCACACUAACCAGACGGAGCCUGGAGCGGGCGUGUCCACUUGGGACAAAGGUUUUGCUGCCAUGGAUGUUACCAGGGGCGUAAGUGGAAAGGGAACUCGUCAGAAACGACGUGACAGUCCUCAGUAUCCACCUCAUAGCAGAGCUUCAAACAACAGCAAAAACCGGUAAAACUGCAAGGAGAGCUAGAUGAACACAAAACCAGUAGUCGCCUUCAGUAACCGUGCUAGGAUGAAGGCACCGUGUCCUCAUCAGGCCUGUUCAGCAGCAGACCGGGGCUCUGGCUGGUCAGUAAGGCAACCAAAGGAGAUAAAAGGCAUCUGGUUGGAAAGGAAAAAGUCCUUAUGCACAGAUGACGCAAUCCUUCAUGUAGAAAAUCCUAAAAUCUGCAACAAGGAACCAAGUAACUGAGUUUAGGAAACGUAGCCGUAUACAAGUUUCAGUAUUCACAACCCACUUGCCCUCCUGCAUGUCAGCAGUGAACACUUGAGAAUGAAAUCCUGGGGAUCCAUCAGACAGGAGAUACGUAAGCUCUGUCCACCGAAAACCACAACACAUCAGUGUGGGAAAUGUCCGUGAACGAGAGAGGUGCCGUCCUAUAGAGGAGUCUGCAUCGUUCAGCAGGCAUCGUUGUGAAAGUAGGAAGGCAAACCACAGCCUGGGAGAAAGAAUUCUGAAGCACAAACCUGACGGAGGACGUACAGCAGAGCACGUGGGGGCUGUUACUGGGUAGGGGGGCCCAGGUCCUACUCUGUGGAGCCCAGAUCUGUGUCACAUUGGGUGGCAAGAGGGACUUCGCAGACAGAUGCGAUUAAGACGGAGAGACGAGAUGGUGCCGGAUUAUCCAGGUGGACCCAAACUAAUCACACGAGCUCUUGAAACUCCAUCAUCUUCUCGGCUUUGGUUGGGCAGAGUGGUCUGGACCUGGCAGCGCUGGGGCCAAGAUGAGGAGCAGCCUCUAGAUGCCGCGAGGGACGUGUGGCUCAGGGCGGGCAGGAGCCAGACCCCAGACCUGCACACCCGUGCACGGAACCAGAUUCUGCCCCAGGGCCUGCGGGAAGGAAGCAGCCGCGCUGCCCCUCGACCAGCCCGCGAGAGCCGGGCCACCCUCCCGGCCACCAGCACUGCGACGAGGUGAAUCUGCUGUUUCCAGCCACUGACCGUGUAGUCAUUUGUUAGUGAUGGAAAACCUACAGUAUCUCUAAUCCAUGUGUAAUGUAGUGUACAUCCGUAGCAGGCCAGUGGUCCACAUUAGAAAAGGGCCGGAGAUUUAAACAGACACUUCCCCAGAGAAGAUUUACGGGUGGUGGACGGAUCUAAGUCUGUGGAAAGAUGCUGGGCGUUGUUCGUCUGUAGGGACGGGCGCGGGGACCGGAGCGCCGCUCUCGCCAGGACGGCCGAAGGUGAGCCGGCGGGGGUCGGCGAGCGCCUGGGGCAGCGGCCGCCCUCACUGCUGCAGGGAACGCAGACUGGCGCAAGCACGUCGGAGAGCAGUUUGGCAGCUUCUAGAACAGGAGUCACACCACCCCCGCACGACCUGACCAUGUCACCCUGGCGUGUGCUCAAGAGAAACGAAGACCUGUUUGUCUUCAUCAGCUCAAUGCAGCUUUAUCCACACUGGCCGAAAAUCGAAACCAGCCCCGAGGCCCACUGAACAAACUGUGGCGUAUCCACACGGAGGGAAGUCUUUGGUAGCGAAGCAGGGACGUACAGCGUGGGUGAGUCUCAGAGGAAUCAGGCUGAGUGGCAACGGACAUGCCAGAUGCUUCCAUUUCCAUAAACUUCUGGAAAACACACUGCAGACCAGUGGUUGCCUGGGAUGGGGCUUGGGGGCCCAUCUCCCACCCACCCUAUGCCUGGACUGCAGGCCCAGUGGGACGUUCUCCAGUCACCUGAGAGGUGCCUGAAGGUGGCACGGGGCUGUGCCGUCAGGGCACACAAUGACAUGCGUCACCCCCCGGAGGGACCCGUUGCAACCCCUCCCCCGCCGGAGCAUCCAGGGGCCCGUUGAGGAUGGAGGGGCUGCCUCCAUGUCAUGGCCCUUAGACACAUCCUUUCCGCCCUGAAUCCCAGAAGGACCAGCAGAAGCUUGAUUGCAGUGCCCCUUUUAUUAAAAAUAAUUGCACUUAA